GUGACUGUGGCUCAAAAGGUAGAGUGCCAGCCCCAUAUGCUGGAGGUGGCAGGUUCAAACCCAGCCC
rnacentral:tRNA from 1 species